CCUCGAUUCGCGAAAAUUCGACAGUUGACCGGGUCUGCGAAAUUCUGGCCAGACAGACCCGUUACCGGAAAAGUCUCCGAAUUGGGCCGAGGUUUUGGCUAGCCCCCCAUUGUCAGACGUCCCGAGCGCGUUCCCGAAGUCGGAAUCGGCAAAGGUGAGCCGGGACAGCCUUCUUCCUCCGCCCAGCCGCCACAGUGAUUGUCGUCAAGUCUGCCACAGGAGGAUAUUUUAUUCUGGGUUAACCUGCUUU